rnacentral:rRNA from 1 species
GUACACUCCUGCGGGAGGCAGCAGUGGGGAAUAUUGCACAAUGGGCGCAAGCCUGAUGCAGCCAUGCCGCGUGUAUGAAGAAGGCCUUCGGGUUGUAAAGUACUUUCAGCGGGGAGGAAGGCGAUAAGGUUAAUAACCUUGUCGAUUGACGUUACCCGCAGAAGAAGCACCGGCUAACUCCGUGCCAGCAGCCGCGGUAAUACGGAGGGUGCAAGCGUUAAUCGGAAUUACUGGGCGUAAAGCGCACGCAGGCGGUCUGUCAAGUCGGAUGUGAAAUCCCCGGGCUCAACCUGGGAACUGCAUUCGAAACGGGCAGGCUAGAGUCUUGUAGAGGGGGGUAGAAUUCCAGGUGUAGCGGUGAAAUGCGUAGAGAUCUGGAGGAAUACCGGUGGCGAAGGCGGCCCCCUGGACAAAGACUGACGCUCAGGUGCGAAAGCGUGGGGAGCAAACAGGAUUAGAAACCCUUGUAGUCCCAUG